UCUCUCUCUCCUCCCCGUUUUCUCUAGGUUUUGGUGUUUUUCUCCUCCCUUCUCCUCCUCUCUCUCUCUCUCCUCCCCGUUUUCUCUAGGUUUUGGUGUUUUUCUCCUCCCUUCUCCUCCUCUCUCUCUCUCCUCCCCGUUUUCUCUAGGUUUUGGUGUUUUUCUCCUCCCUUCUCCUCCUCUCUCUCUCUCUCCUCCCCGUUUUCUCUAGGUUUUGGUGUUUUUCUCCUCCCUUCUCCUCCUCUCUCUCUCUCUCCUCCCCGUUUUCUCUAGGUUUUGGUGUUUUUCUCCUCCCUUCUCCUCCUCUCUCUCUCUCCUCCCCGUUUUCUCUAGGUUUUGGUGUUUUUCUCCUCCCUUCUCCUCCUCUCUCUCUCUCUCCUCCCCGUUUUCUCUAGGUUUUGGUGUUUUUCUCCUCCCUUCUCCUCCUCUCUCUCUCUCCUCCCCGUUUUCUCUAGGUUUUGGUGUUUUUCUCCUCCCUUCUCCUCCUCUCUCUCUCUCUCCUCCCCGUUUUCUCUAGGUUUUGGUGUUUUUCUCCUCCCUUCUCCUCCUCUCUCUCUCUCUCCUCCCCGUUUUCUCUAGGUUUUGGUGUUUUUCUCCUCCCUUCUCCUCCUCUCUCUCUCUCUCCUCCCCGUUUUCUCUAGGUUUUGGUGUUUUUCUCCUCCCUUCUCCUCCUCUCUCUCUCUCUCCUCCCCGUUUUCUCUAGGUUUUGGUGUUUUUCUCCUCCCUUCUCCUCCUCUCUCUCUCUCCUCCCCGUUUUCUCUAGGUUUUGGUGUUUUUCUCCUCCCUUCUCCUCCUCUCUCUCUC